rnacentral:ncRNA from 2 species
GCAUAUUCCUGUUACUGACGGAUAAGCAGGUCACUGCUAGGGAGCAGGAAGCGUUAUUAAUGCCGACCGUCUGGGCGCAGUUA